rnacentral:rRNA from 1 species
UGAGGAAUAUUGCACAAUGGGCGAAAGCCUGAUGCAGCGACGCCGCGUGGGUGAAGAAGGUUUUCGGAUCGUAAAACCCUUUUCUGUGUGACGAGAACGGACGGUAGCACAGGAAUAAGUCUCGGCUAACUACGUGCCAGCAGCCGCGGUAAAACGUAGGAGACAAACGUUAUCCGGAGUUACUGGGCGUAAAGGGCGUGCAGGCGGCAGUCUAAGUCUGGCGUGAAAUAUCCCGGCUCAACCGGGGAAGGUCGUCGGAUACUGGGCAGCUAGAGGACGGUAGAGGCGUGUGGAAUUCCGGGUGUAGUGGUGAAAUGCGUAGAGAUCCGGAGGAACACCAGUGGCGAAGGCGACACGCUGGGCCGUACCUGACGCUAAGACGCGACAGCAUGGGGAGCAAACAGGAUUAGAUAGCCUAGUAGUCCCUGAGCGGGCUGGCAAGGCGCAU